rnacentral:rRNA from 1 species
GACGAACGCUGGCGGCGUGCUUAACACAUGCAAGUCGAACGAUGAAGCCUAGCUUGCUAGGUGGAUUAGUGGCGAACGGGUGAGUAAUACGUGAGUGACCUACCUUUGACUCUGGGAUAAGCCUGGGAAACUGGGUCUAAUACCGGAUACGACCAAUCUCCGCAUGGGGUGUUGGUGGAAAGCGUUAUGGAGUGGUUUUAGAUGGGCUCACGGCCUAUCAGCUUGUUGGUGAGGUAAUGGCUUACCAAGGCGACGACGGGUAGCCGGCCUGAGAGGGUGACCGGCCACACUGGGACUGAGACACGGCCCAGACUCCUACGGGAGGCAGCAGUGGGGAAUAUUGCACAAUGGGCGCAAGCCUGAUGCAGCGACGCCGCGUGAGGGAUGACGGCCUUCGGGUUGUAAACCUCUGUUAGCAUCGAAGAAGCGAAAGUGACAGUAGGUGCAGAGAAAGCGCCGGCUAACUACGUGCCAGCAGCCGCGGUAAUACGUAGGGCGCGAGCGUUGUCCGGAAUUAUUGGGCGUAAAGAGCUUGUAGGCGGUUGGUCGCGUCUGCUGUGAAGGCUGGGGCUUAACCCUGGUUUUGCAGUGGGUACGGGCUAACUAGAGUGCAGUAGGGGAGACUGGAAUUCCUGGUGUAGCGGUGGAAUGCGCAGAUAUCGGGAGGAACACCGAUGGCGAAGGCAGGUCUCUGGGCUGUAACUGACGCUGAGAAGCGAAAGCAUGGGGAGCGAACAGGAUUAGAUACCCUGGUAGUCCAUGCCGUAAACGUUGGGCACUAGGUGUGGGGGACAUUCCACGUUUUCCGCGCCGUAGCUAACGCAUUAAGUGCCCCGCCUGGGGAGUACGGCCGCAAGGCCAAAACUCAAAGAAAUUGACGGGGGCCCGCACAAGCGGCGGAGCAUGCGGAUUAAUUCGAUGCAACGCGAAGAACCUUACCAAGGCUUGACAUAUACCGGACUGCGUCAGAGAUGGCGUUUCCCUUCGGGGCUGGUAUACAGGUGGUGCAUGGUUGUCGUCAGCUCGUGUCGUGAGAUGUUGGGUUAAGUCCCGCAACGAGCGCAACCCUCGUUCUAUGUUGCCAGCACGUGAUGGUGGGGACUCAUAGGAGACUGCCGGGGUUAACUCGGAGGAAGGUGGGGAUGACGUCAAAUCAUCAUGCCCCUUAUGUCUUGGGCCUCACGCAUGCUACAAUGGCCGGUACAGAGGGUUGCGAUACUGUGAGGUGGAGCUAAUCCCUAAAAGCCGGUCUCAGUUCGGAUUGGGGUCUGCAACUCGACCCCAUGAAGUCGGAGUCGCUAGUAAUCGCAGAUCAGCAACGCUGCGGUGAAUACGUUCCCGGGCCU